rnacentral:rRNA from 1 species
GACGAACGCUGGCGGCGUGCUUAACACAUGCAAGUCGAACGGAAAGGCCCCUUUGGGGGUACUCGAGUGGCGAACGGGUGAGUAACACGUGAGUAACCUUCCCUUGACUUCGGGAUAACUUCAGGAAACUGGGGCUAAUACCGGAUAGGAAUCCUUGCUGCAUGGUGGGGGUUGGAAAGCUUCGGGGGUUUUGGAUGGACUCGCGGCUUAUCAGCUUGUUGGUGGGGUAGUGGCUUACCAAGGCUUUGACGGGUAGCCGGCCUGAGAGGGCGACCGGCCACAUUGGGACUGAGAUACGGCCCAGACUCCUACGGGAGGCAGCAGUGGGGAAUAGUGCACAAGGGGCGGAAGCCUGAUGCAGCAACGCCGCGUGCGGGAUGACGGGCUUCGGGUUGUAAACCGAUUUCAGCAGGGGCGAAGCUUGUGGUGACGGUACCUGCAGAAGAAGCACCGGCUAACUACGUG